AUCAUUCUUCUUUUAUCAUGCAUUUCUAUAAAAAAAAGUCAUAACAAGUGUGUUGUCCAGAGCCCCUCUGACUCUCUUAUAAAGUGGGGUAUAACAAAUUAGUUGUGUGUAAUCUUGCAUCAGUAACGUUCAACCUUGAAAGGCGCGGUCCGCGCAAAUCAGUAAAAAUACCAGAUUAUAAGUCUUUAUAGCCCCCACGGUGAAUACUCGGCUCAGAUGACACCAAUAACCCUGAAAUGACACCACCCUGGACCAGUUGCUCCAACCUCUCCUCAGUUCCAACCAGCCCACACAGCCCAAUGAGACCACACAUAUUGAUCCACUGGUGUUUGAGAUUCUCAAGAGGAGGACACAAGCAGCAUCAGUGAAUACCCUGCUGACAUGAUUGAUGAAAAUGUGUCUAGCAAGACUACUAGUUCUGAUGAAAAUGUGGACAGCAAGACUACUAGUUCUCGUGAAAAUGUGUCCAGCAAGACUACUAGUUCUGAUGAAAAUGUGGACAGCAAGACUACUAGUUCUCGUGAAAAUAUGGCCAGCAAGACUACUAGUUCUCGUGAAAUUGUGGCCAGCAAGACUAUUGGUUCUACUGAAAACGUAUCCAACAAGACUGAUAGUUCUCGUGAAAAUGUGGCCAGCAAUACUGUUACAUGUAGUUCUCUUGAACUCAAAAUGAGACAUUAAAACAUUGAAAAAAAAUGCAUGAACUCUUCAUGAAGUAAAGUUUCAAGAGCUGAGCAAAAAAUUAAUGAAUUCUUCAUGAAUAUGAGAUAUGAACAGUUUCAUGAAUAAAACGUAAAUUUUCAUGAAGUUUUCAAGAAUAAUGAUAUUCAUGAAUUGUUCAACUUCAUGAAGUAAAUACUCCUGAACUCAAAAUGAGACAUUAAAAUAUUGAACAAAAAAUUAAUGAACUCUUCAUGAAGUAAAGUUUCAUGAACAUCUGAGCAAAAAAUUCAUGAAUUCUUCAUGCAUAUGAGAUAUGUACAGUUUCAUGAAUAAAACUUAAAUGUUUAUACUUCAUGAAUAAUUCAUUAGGUGUGUACACUUCUUAAACUCUUCAUGAAUUCUUAAUGGGCAUUAAGGAUGCAUGAUAUGAUGCAUUGUCCACUUCAUGAAUAGUUCAUGAACUCUGUUUGGAAUAAGUCUCAUUUUGUCUUCACAUGUUUCUCAUGAAGUCUUCAUGAAGUACCAUCAUGAAUGGUUCAUGAAGACAAUGCGAAUAGUUCAUGAAGCAUUCUUAAACAUUUCACAGGGGUGGCUGGAAACAAAUCUUAAACAUCAAAUGAAGUUAUGUUAAGAAACACAUUGGCGUCCCCAUAUUUUGCUAUACAUUCAGUAUAAAAACAUCUUCAUUUAUCA